rnacentral:rRNA from 1 species
UACAGAGGGUGCAAGCGUUAAUCGGAAUUACUGGGCGUAAAGGGCUUGUAGGUGGCCAACUAAGUCAGACGUGAAAUCCCUCGGCUUAACCGGGGAACUGCGUCUGAUACUGGAUGGCUUGAGUUCGGGAGAGGGAUGCGGAAUUCCAGGUGUAGCGGUGAAAUGCGUAGAUAUCUGGAGGAACACCGGUGGCGAAGGCGGCAUCCUGGACCGACACUGACGCUGAGGAGCGAAAGCCAGGGAGCAAACGGG